UAAUACGGAGGGUGCAAGCGUUAUCCGGAUCUACUGGGUUUAAAGGGUGCGCAGGCGGAUAUGUAAGUCAGUGGUGAAAUCUCCGGGCUUAACCCGGAAACUGCCGUUGAUACUAUAUAUCUUGAAUGCUGUGGAGGUAAGCAGAAUAUGUCAUGUAGCGGUGAAAUGCUUAGAGAUGACAUAGAAUACCUAUUGCGAAGGCAGCUUACUACGCAGAUAUUGACGCUCAAGCACGAAAGCGUGGGGAUCAAACAGGA
rnacentral:rRNA from 1 species